UUUUUUUUUUUUUUUUUUUUUUUUUUCUCCCAGACGAACGCUGGCGGCGUGCCUAAUACAUGCAAGUCGAACGAACUCUGGUAUUGAUUGGUGCUUGCAUCAUGAUUUACAUUUGAGUGAGUGGCGAACUGGUGAGUAACACGUGGGAAACCUGCCCAGAAGCGGGGGAUAACACCUGGAAACAGAUGCUAAUACCGCAUAACAACUUGGACCGCAUGGUCCGAGUUUGAAAGAUGGCUUCGGCUAUCACUUUUGGAUGGUCCCGCGGCGUAUUAGCUAGAUGGUGGGGUAACGGCUCACCAUGGCAAUGAUACGUAGCCGACCUGAGAGGGUAAUCGGCCACAUUGGGACUGAGACACGGCCCAAACUCCUACGGGAGGCAGCAGUAGGGAAUCUUCCACAAUGGACGAAAGUCUGAUGGAGCAACGCCGCGUGAGUGAAGAAGGGUUUCGGCUCGUAAAACUCUGUUGUUAAAGAAGAACAUAUCUGAGAGUAACUGUUCAGGUAUUGACGGUAUUUAACCAGAAAGCCACGGCUAACUACGUGCCAGCAGCCGCGGUAAUACGUAGGUGGCAAGCGUUGUCCGGAUUUAUUGGGCGUAAAGCGAGCGCAGGCGGUUUUUUAAGUCUGAUGUGAAAGCCUUCGGCUCAACCGAAGAAGUGCAUCGGAAACUGGGAAACUUGAGUGCAGAAGAGGACAGUGGAACUCCAUGUGUAGCGGUGAAAUGCGUAGAUAUAUGGAAGAACACCAGUGGCGAAGGCGGCUGUCUGGUCUGUAACUGACGCUGAGGCUCGAAAGUAUGGGUAGCAAACAGGAUUAGAUACCCUGGUAGUCCAUACCGUAAACGAUGAAUGCUAAGUGUUGGAGGGUUUCCGCCCUUCAGUGCUGCAGCUAACGCAUUAAGCAUUCCGCCUGGGGAGUACGGCCGCAAGGCUGAAACUCAAAGGAAUUGACGGGGGCCCGCACAAGCGGUGGAGCAUGUGGUUUAAUUCGAAGCUACGCGAAGAACCUUACCAGGUCUUGACAUACUAUGCAAAUCUAAGAGAUUAGACGUUCCCUUCGGGGACAUGGAUACAGGUGGUGCAUGGUUGUCGUCAGCUCGUGUCGUGAGAUGUUGGGUUAAGUCCCGCAACGAGCGCAACCCUUAUUAUCAGUUGCCAGCAUUAAGUUGGGCACUCUGGUGAGACUGCCGGUGACAAACCGGAGGAAGGUGGGGAUGACGUCAAAUCAUCAUGCCCCUUAUGACCUGGGCUACACACGUGCUACAAUGGAUGGUACAACGAGUUGCGAACUCGCGAGAGUAAGCUAAUCUCUUAAAGCCAUUCUCAGUUCGGAUUGUAGGCUGCAACUCGCCUACAUGAAGUCGGAAUCGCUAGUAAUCGCGGAUCAGCAUGCCGCGGUGAAUACGUUCCCGGGCCUUGUACACACCGCCCGUCACACCAUGAGAGUUUGUAACACCCAAAGUCGGUGGGGUAACCUUUUAGGAACCAGCCGCCUAAGGUGGGACAGAUGAUUAGGGUGAAGUCGUACAAGGGUAACCAAACCGUAGCCCGCCGUAAUAGC
rnacentral:rRNA from 1 species